rnacentral:rRNA from 1 species
GCCUGUUUAUCAAAAACAUGGUUUUUUGAGAUAAUUUAAGAUUUGACCUGCCCAAUGAGUAAUUAAAUGGCCGCGGUAUACUGACCGUGCAAAGGUAGCAUAGUCAUUAGUUUUUUAAUUGAAAGCUGGAAUGAAUGGUUUGACAAGAAAACAGCUGUCUCUAUUUUAAUUUUUAUAGAAUUUUAUUUUUAAGUGAAAAAGCUUAAAUAUGAUUAAGGGACGAGAAGACCCUUUAGAAUUUUAUAUGUAUUUGAGUUGAAAUUUAGGGAAAGAUUUGUUUUUUAUUUAAUUAAAAUAUUUUGUUGGGGUGAUGGAAAAAUUUAGUUAACUUUUUUUUUAUAUUUUCAUUGAUUAAUGAUUAUUUGAUCCAUAUUUUAUGAUUACAAGAUUAAAUUACCUAAGGGAUAACAGCGUAAUUGAUUCGGAGAGUUCUAAUCGAUGAAUUAGUUUGCGACCUCGAUGUUGGAUUAAAAUAAACGGUUGGUGUAGGGGCUAACUAGUUAAGUCUGUUCGACUUUUAAAAUUUUACAUGAUCUGAGUUCAGACCGG